UCAAGAAAGUUACUAAGGGCGCACGGGGGAUGCCUUGGCUCUCAGAGGCGAUGAAGGACGUGAUAAGCUGCGAUAAGCAUCGGGUAUUGGCAAAUACGAAUUGAUCCGAUGAUUUCCGAAUGGGGAAACCUAACUAGUUGAAGACUAGUUGUAUAAAUACGCUAACCUGCCGAACUGAAACAUCUAAGUAAGCAGAGGAAGAGAAAACAAUAGUGAUUUCGUAAGUAGUGGCGAGCGAACGCGAAAGAGCCCAAACCAAUAAUGUUACGGCAUUAUUGGGGUUGUAGGACAGUAAUGUGGACUUAACAAAAGAACAAGAAUGCUUUGGGAAGAGCAGCCAUAGAGCGUGAUAGCCGCGUAUUGGUAAGAUUGUUAUACCUAACUGUAUCCUGAGUACCGCGAGGUCGGAGACGCCUUGUGGGAAUCUGCCAGCACCAUCUGGUAAGGCUAAAUACUACUGAGAGACCGAUAGUGAACAAGUACUGUGAAGGAAAGGUGAAAAGAACCCCGAACAGGGGAGUGCAAUAGAACCUGAAACCGUGCGCUUACAAGCGGUCGGAGCACCAUCUGGUGUGACGGCGUGCCUUUUGCAUAAUGAGCCUACGAGUUACUUCUCACUGGCAAGGUUAAGUCCUUCAGGGACGCAGCCGAAGCGAAAGCGAGUCUGAAUAGGGCGCAUAGUCAGUGGGAGUAGACGCGAAACCUUGUGAUCUACCCUUGAGCAGGAUGAAGUUGCAGUAACAUGUAAUGGAGGUCCGAACCGGUUAACGUUGAAAAGUUUUCGGAUGACUUGAGGGUAGGGGUGAAAGGCUAAUCAAACUGGGAAAUAGCUCGUACUCUCCGAAAUGUUUUUAGGAACAGCCUGGCGGUAAGAGUGUGCUAGAGGUAGAGCUACUAAUUGGAUGCGGGGGAGUCAAAUCCUACCAAAUCCAGAUAAACUCCGAAUGCUAGACACAUAUACGCUGGAGUGAGGCUUUGGGUGCUAAGGUCCAAGGCCGAGAGGGAAAGAACCCAGACCAUCAGCUAAGGUCCCCAAAUAUAUACUAAGUUGAACUAACGGGGUCCGAUUGCAUAGACAGCUAGGAUGUUGGCUUGGAAGCAGCCAUUCAUUUAAAGAGUGCGUAACAGCUCACUAGUCGAGCGAUCGGGCAUGGAUAAUAAUCGGGCAUCAAGUAUAUUACCGAAGCUAUGGAUAGGGAUUUAUCUCUAUGGUAGGAGAGCAUUCUAACAGCGGCGAAGGUGUACCGUAAGGUAUGUUGGAGCGGUUAGAAAAGCAAAUGUAGGCAUAAGUAACGAUAAUGCAGGCGAGAAACCUGCACACCGAAAGACUAAGGUUUCCUGAUCAACGCUAAUCGGAUCAGGGUUAGUCGGGGCCUAAGGUGUAGCCGAAGGGCGAAGCCGAUGGACAAUGGGUUAAUAUUCCCAUACUAUCUUAUAUUGUGACGGGGAGACGCAGUGGUGAAAGAUCCGCGAACUGACGGAAUAGUUCGUUAAAGGCCGUACCUAUAUCAUUCAUAGGCAAAUCCGUGAGUGAUGGAGAAAGCUGAAAGUACCACAAACCUACGGGGGCGUGGAUAGUGAUCCUAAAGGCUGCCGAGAAAAUCCUCUAAACUUCAGAUAUAAGAUACCCGUACCGCAAACCGACACAGGUAGUCGAGGAGAGAAUCCUAAGGUGCUCGAGUGAAUCAUGGCUAAGGAACUCGGCAAAAUGGCCCUGUAACUUCGGGAGAAGGGGCGCCCCUUAACGGGGGCCGCAGUGAAAAGGUCCAGGCGACUGUUUAACAAAAACACAUGGCUUUGCAAAAUCGAAAGAUGAGGUAUAAGGCCUGACACCUGCCCGGUGCUGGAAGGUUAAGAGGGGAUGUUAGUCGCAAGGCGAAGCAUUGAAUCGAAGCCCCAGUAAACGGCGGCCGUAACUAUAACGGUCCUAAGGUAGCGAAAUUCCUUGUCGGGUAAGUUCCGACCUGCACGAAUGGUGUAACGAUCUGGACGCUGUCUCAGCCAUGAGCUCGGUGAAAUUGUGGUAUCGGUGAAGACGCCGGUUACCCGCAACGGGACGGAAAGACCCCAUGCACCUUCACUACAACUUAACAUUGAUAUUGGGUACAGGAUGUGUAGGAUAGGCGGGAGAUGUUGAAGCGGCUUCGCCAGGAGUCGUGGAAUCAACCUUGAAAUACCGCCCUUUCUGUAUUCGGUGUCUAACCCUGCUGAAGCGGGGGACAUUGUUUGGUGGGUAGUUUGACUGGGGUGGUCGCCUCCAAAAGAGUAACGGAGGCUUUCAAAGGUAUGCUCAGUACGCUUGGUAACCGUACGUGGAGUGCAAUAGCAAAAGCAUGCUUGACUGUGAGGCCUACAAGCCGAGCAGGUACGAAAGUAGGAUAUAGUGAUCCGGUGGUUCUGCAUGGAAGGGCCAUCGCUCAAAGGAUAAAAGGUACGCUGGGGAUAACAGGCUGAUCUCCCCCAAGAGCUCAUAUCGACGGGGAGGUUUGGCACCUCGAUGUCGGCUCGUCACAUCCUGGGGCUGGAGAAGGUCCCAAGGGUUCGGCUGUUCGCCGAUUAAAGUGGCACGCGAGCUGGGUUCAGAACGUCGCGAGACAGUUCGGUCCCUAUCUGUUGUGGGCGUAGGAUAUUUGAGUGGACCUGACCUUAGUACGAGAGGACCGGGUUGGACGAACCUCUAGUGAAUCUGUUAUGGCGCCAGCUGUACUGCAGAGUAGCUACGUUCGGUCGAGAUAAGCGCUGAAAGCAUCUAAGCGCGAAACUCACCACAAGAUGAGAUAUCCAUA
rnacentral:rRNA from 1 species